rnacentral:rRNA from 1 species
CCUACGGGAGGCAGCAGUAGGGAAUCUUCCACAAUGGGCGAAAGCCUGAUGGAGCAACGCCGCGUGGGUGAAGAAGGUCUUCGGAUCGUAAAACCCUGUUUUUAGGGAAGAAAGUGCGUGAGCGUAACUGUUCACGUUUCGACGGUAUCUAACCAGAAAGCCACGUCUAAAUACGUGCCAGCAGCCGCGGUAAUACGGAGGUGGCAAGCGUUGUCCGGUUUUAUUGGGCGUAACGGGAAUGCGGGGGGGCUUUUAAGUCUGAUGUGAAAGCCUUCGGCUUAACCGGAGUAGUGCAUUGGAAACUGGGAGACUUGAGUGCAGAAGAGGAGAGUGGAACUCCAGGUGUAGCGGUGAAAUGCGUAGAUAUAUGGAGGAACACCAGUGGCGAAAGCGGCUCUCUGGUCUGUAACUGACGCUGAGGUUCGAAGGCGUGGGUAGCAAACAGGAUUAGAUACCCGGGUAGUC